rnacentral:lncRNA from 1 species
ACAGUGGAGCACUUAGAGGAGAGCACAGCCUUCCGCUACCUGGCCCAGUACUAUUUUAAAUGCAAGCUGUGGGAUGAAGCUUCAACUUGUGCCCAAAAAUGUUGUGCAUUCAAUGAUGGAGAUUUGAGUAAAGGAGAAUGCCGUGAGCGCAAGAUCCGUGCGUAAGGGCUGCUGUCUGUCGAGCUUUGGCAGUUCAGCUUUAACUUCCUGGAGCUGCUGAGAGGAGGCAGAGGCUGCCAACCUUUGUGACCGCCGGAGGGACAGUUCACACCCCCCUGACUGUUGUGCCACUGGCUGCUGUUUGGCUUCCUGCAAGAGAGUUUCUAGCUCUUCAAUUUUUUCAUCCCGCUCCUAAGAGGGAAGCAGAGAGCACAGUUCUGUCUAGGGUCAGACAAAUACCAAAGGACCAGACUAAAAGAACAUAAGCACCUACGCGCGACAUUAGCCCAUUAGCACACUUUCACGGUGGACUCAUCCCUAAACUCAAACUCAGUAGCUGCAAGGCACUAAGGGAAACUAAUAAAAACGAAUUCUAUAUU